rnacentral:ncRNA from 1 species
GAUCCCACUCCACCACCGUGGGGCCCUGACUGAAAAAAGGAGGAAAAACCGCCCCGGCUCGGGCUGCGGCAGUGUGGAGACCUGCCGUCAAAGCGGCGCAUCCCCUCGCGGAUGGCCGUGAGGGCACACCAGGCGGAGGCCGUGUGUCCGGAGUCAUGUCACUAUGGCA